CACAUGCAAGUCGAACGAAGGCUUCGGCCUUAGUGGCGCACGGGUGCGUAACGCGUGGGAAUCUGCCCUUAGGUUCGGAAUAACAGCUGGAAACGGCUGCUAAUACCGGAUGAUAUCGCGAGAUCAAAGAUUUAUCGCCUGAGGAUGAGCCCGCGUUGGAUUAGGUAGUUGGUGGGGUAAAGGCCUACCAAGCCGACGAUCCAUAGCUGGUCUGAGAGGAUGAUCAGCCACACUGGGACUGAGACACGGCCCAGACUCCUACGGGAGGCAGCAGUGGGGAAUAUUGGACAAUGGGCGAAAGCCUGAUCCAGCAAUGCCGCGUGAGUGAUGAAGGCCCUAGGGUUGUAAAGCUCUUUUACCCGGGAAGAUAAUGACUGUACCGGGAGAAUAAGCCCCGGCUAACUCCGUGCCAGCAGCCGCGGUAAUACGGAGGGGGCUAGCGUUGUUCGGAAUUACUGGGCGUAAAGCGCACGUAGGCGGCUUUGUAAGUCAGAGGUGAAAGCCUGGAGCUCAACUCCAGAACUGCCUUUGAGACUGCAUCGCUUGAAUCCAGGAGAGGUCAGUGGAAUUCCGAGUGUAGAGGUGAAAUUCGUAGAUAUUCGGAAGAACACCAGU
rnacentral:rRNA from 1 species